UCCGGUUUGUCACCGGCGGUCUCCUUAGAGUUCCCACCAUUACGUGCUGGCAACUAAGGACAAGGGUUGCGCUCGUUGCGGGACUUAACCCAACAUCUCACGACACGAGCUGACGACAGCCAUGCAGCACCUGUGUUCGAGUUCCCGAAGGCACCAAUCCAUCUCUGGAAAGUUCUCGACAUGUCAAGGCCAGGUAAGGUGGGGAUGACGUGUCUAGGAGGGUG
rnacentral:misc_RNA from 1 species